UAGCUCUUUCAUAUUUCUCUGCAGGUCCAUCAGCAUGGUUAUGACUUUUAUUUUUAAUUCUUUUUCAGGAAGAUUGGUUAAAUCUAUCUCCCCCAGUACUCUCUCAGGGGUUGUCCUGGUGAUUGUGGACUGAACCAAUUUCUUCUACCUUUUCAUGGCAAUAGAGGUAGUCAUAGGCAGGUAGUGCGUGUGUUAUCUGGGAGAACAAUGUCCCUGUGUGGGUGUUUCAGUGCCACUGUUUGCUGUCUUAUAAAGGCUUUCUAGCCCUGCCAUGGGGUGACCGCGGCAGGAAUUCCUGCCUGUGCUUCAGCCCAGCAUGCAGACUGCUGACAGGUACCACGCGGAAACCACCUGCUCAUAGUGUGCUGUGUGUCAGCAUGUUUGCACCCAUGGUUCCCAGCUCUCUGUUCUCAGUGCUCUUUUUCACACUUUAUUUUUUUGUUCUGCAUUCCUUGGCAAACCAUCCGGUUGUAAUAUUGCAACAUUUCUUUUUUUUUUUUCCCAUAACUUGCCAGUGUUUUUGUGUUCAAUUUAAAAAUCAUUAUGAAUCUGGAAAAAAUGAAAGUUGUGUAAAACUGUUUUAGAUGCAAUGCAUAUUAGAUUAGGCAUAAACUAUGUACAAUUCUUUUACUAAAACAAGGCAAGUAGGUCAUACAUAUUAAGGGAAGUCGUUUGUUCUUGGAUUUUCACAUUAGACCAGUUCUGUGGUCUCGCUCUAAAUAGGCCUUAGGACAGUGUAUCUUCGUGCCUUUUCAGGGCCCUCCCUUUCUGACCUGAGCGUGUGUGAUAGGCUAGAGUGCCACAUUUAUUAGCUGGCUUAGCCAGUUCUUCACAGCCAACGCUAAGUAAUUCUUCUCUUCACCCGAACUUACUGAUAGAAAUAUAAUUUAUUCACACUGCUCUUUAUAUAUGGAAGGAAGCAAUGCCAUCAAACCAGGAUGGACAGUCUACAGGUUAUUGUAUUUUUACUAGUACUAAGGGGAGAAUUUGCUCCUUAAUGUACUGUCUGAAAUACUGGAUAAGUUUCGGCUGGUCAGAGAGUCAGCUCCCAUUUAGGGUUGAAGUCUAGGACUCAGAAGAGCAGUAUCUCAGGGCAGUUCAAAAGGUCUCCGUCUGUUCCCCGUGGGAUUCACAGCCCUGGGCUCACUGGCACUGUGACCUUGUGCAGAGUUAACCAGCCGGGCUUUCCUAGAAAUGCCCACGAGGAACUGCGUUUCUCCCCAUGGUGUUGCCGUUUUACUGCGUAGUCCUUUAAGCUGUCCAUGGGCAUUGUGGAGUGCCCUUCAAUACCUUUACUAGUCUAACAAAGCCUUUUUUUUCAAAUUUUGCAAUCCAACUUUAUGGCUUCUGUUGUACUUAUUUUCUAUGAUAAUGUAGUUUUCAAAGCAGAAACUCUUCAGAGUGCUUUCAGCAGUUUUAUUUUGGCCAGUACAUAAAAAUCUAAUUUUAAGUCCCAUUACUGUUUGCAGGAAGCCAGGCAGUGGGGAUGGGGGGCGGAGGUGGCUUCUUGUCUGAAUCUACCAAAUGACCAAACUAGCGGUUACAGCUCUUCCUCUUAACCAAACCCAUUGAACAUUGCUAGACUUUUCCUUCCUUCGUUCCAGGUCCUCACAUUUUCCGGGAGUUCCGCUGUAGCUCCUUCUGUAAAGCCUGGCUUUUAUGGUGUGGUCAGGCACCUUGGCUGUGCUCCUGCCAACACAUCCACAGGCGGCAGGGCCCGAGUGUGGGGCCGGGCUGCCCACAGGGCUCUGGCCACUGACUGCUCCCCAGCGAGUCUGCGCCUCACUCCCCACCUGUGCCAGACUCUCAUCUCGGGCCACCCAACUCCUGCUGCUGCUCAAACAGACGCACCACACAGUCACGCGGGGCAUCACCAGGGCGUGAAGGAGGACUUCCACAUGGCCAUGGAGCACCAGGUGUCCUGCUGCAGGGAGAGCCUGGCAGUGGUGCUGCACAGAUUCUGCACCAACGAGGUCCUGCUCCUGCAGACACUGGCCGGGGUGGCGGCCCGCGGGGCAGCUGUGGGGUGGGUGCCUCAGAGUCGGGGAAACUAUUUCUAUUUUUUAGUCACUUUUUUGUAAUUUGCGUAAAACAAAAGAACCUGUUUUGUAAAUAAAAAUCAACCUUAA